UAAGAAUCUUGCUCAAUGGGCGCAAGCCUGAAGCAGCGACGCCGCGUGAACGAAGAAGGUCUUCGGAUUGUAAAGUUCAGUAAGCAGGGAAAAAUAAGCAGCAAUGUGAUGAUGGUACCUGCCUAAAGCACCGGCUAACUACGUG
rnacentral:rRNA from 1 species